AAGGAUCAUUAUUGAAAAUAAACCUGAUGGGUUGUUGCUGGUUCUCUAGGGAGCAUGUGCACACCUUGUCAUCUUUAUAUCUCCACCUGUGCACCUUUUGUAGACCCCUCCAGGUCUAUGUUGCUUCAUUUACCCCAAUGUAUGUCGAUAGAAUGUCGUGACUAUGAAAUCUAUACAACUUUCAGCAACGGAUCUCUUGGCUCUC
rnacentral:misc_RNA from 1 species